ACACCUCCGGGGGAGGCAGGGGGAGAUGCUGCCGGGGAUGCGGGAGGAGGCGGCGGUCGGGCCGGGCCCCCCCCGGGGCGGAGGAGAUAAGGAGAUUUAACUAACAGAUUCCCCAGGCUGAACCCCUCCGCUGGGCUGAAUUUAGCAGCAGAAGAGAUAACCGGGAGAUAAGGACUGAUACCCGGGAGGACAGCGGGAGAGCGGCAGGCGGCCCAGGGAAGGGGGAGAAGCCGGAGGCAGCGUUGGGAAGGGCUGCGUAUCCAGAUGUGCCGGGUUUCGGACACGCAUCUCCCUCUCCACGCCUUGCAAAAUCUCGGGGGGGUUUCUCUCCCAAAUCAGCGCUUUGCUGAAGCUUCGUUGAAUUCCUACUAUCAGCGCUGUCUUGCAAAAAACAAGCCAAAAUCCAAUUAAACCCGAUUAAAACCGCCCCCAGCAGCUCUACCAGGAGCGGAGACGAUUUCAAGGAUCUGCCUUGGCUUUGCCUCUUCCAGGAAAAAAAAAAAAACACACAUAAAAAAAAUAUCCCGCAGUCGGUUUUGCGUGUGCGUCCUCUUCCAGCGGGGAAAUCUCGGUCCUUAGUGCGGAGCAUCGCGUCGCGGGGAGGGCGAGGGGGUGCGCACCCCGAAAAAAAGCAAUGCUGUCAGGAGCUGAGCCGAACCCCAGCCUGGUGCAAACUGACAGCCCGGGAAGGGGGGGUGAGGAAGGAUUUCGGACACUUUUUUAUCCCGAAAAAGCAGAAGAUGGGAUAUAGCACAAGGCAAAAAAAAUAAAAAUAAAAAUAAAUCCCUGCUCUGCACUCGGA